rnacentral:ncRNA from 1 species
UCAAAAGCGUUGACUGAGAAGAAGUAAGAAUAGUUAAUACCUUAAAGAGAGCUACCGGUUGGUGAGAGGGGCAAGGGAAAGCAUUCCGAAUACAUCUCAAUAGCUGCUCACCAAAAGGGCUGGUCCCGAGUAGGCUGAUGCCGGCAACCUGCACCCGUUAUAGUGCUAAAGUAUAACUGCAUCAUUAUGCAAGUACUCGAUAAGGUUGGUAUCGUGAGGUACCGAUAAACUAAGGUGGUAACACGGAUAUAUUCCCGUCCUUUGA